ACAACGAAAGCCACUCAAGAAGAAGUAGGGUGUAUCCUAAUUGAAGUUAAGGAGGAGCUCAAAUUGAGAAGUUAGGUUGAGACUUCACUUGAAGUCUGAAAAAAGUUCAGCUAAGAACGAAACACUAGACGGAGAGGUUGUGUCGGUGUAAUCUCUGUUCCCUGUGAAUUUUUGUGUAGUGUACUAACUGUGAAACUAGUGUUUAUUAAUAAUAAGUAAGAUAAACUAAGUGGUGUUUUAACUUGCCCAGAGUCCCAGUGCCCAAGAAACUCCUGAGAGACUGGAUAAUGAAAGGAAACGAUUUAAUAUGAUUUCAUGAAUCUACAAUGUUCCUGAGAAAAGAAAAGCUCAACCACAAGCAAUAUAGAUGAAGGUUAUCCCAUAUGUCAAAAUAACCUUAACAAUUACAAACAAGACUACCGAAGAAAAGACUGACUAAUAAUAAAGAAAGAGAAAGAGGAAGAGAAUAAAAGGAAAGACGCAACAAAAAACUUGGUGCUCAACAGUUGUGGAUUCUAAGUGCAAACACCAACAUAUAGAGUGAAACUUAAGAAACACACACACACAAACACAGUAGAAAAUUAAACAGAGAAGAAAAUAUAAAGUACCGACCAACCAUUAUUAAAGGAGUGCUAAUCCCUAAGCGCUAGAACAAAAACCAAUAAAUAACAGAAAAAUUCCAAGGCACAAACUCUACCAUUAAAAAGAAGAAAUUUCCGAGUUCAAUAACUCAAAGGACGAAGAAAGAAAAAAGCGGCGAAGAACAACGAAACACAUCUCCGAGACUGGGUAUCGCCGACGAGUAGUCAUAACAACUUCAAAACAGCUGAGACGGCAAACGAAGCGAGAGCGACGAAACGCAGUGAAUUUCUACGAAGAAUACUGAACCAGGAUUGCCGCAUUCGUAAGUCAUAUCAACACGACAAUGCAUUAAUAGAAAACGCAAGAACGCUUAAGAGUGGACCUAGAGGAAUUUCAUAUUCAGCGCAGUGAAACUUCAUGGAAAAACGAUUGACUUAAUUCUUCAAUCAACCUAACAGCGCUAAAAUAUCGUGAAGAUCGAGAUAGCGCCAAAUUUUCCAUACAGUGCUACGAUUUCCCCAAACGACGGAUGAAGCUGAAGUGGCGGCGCUAAGCAACGGCAGCGCAGUAGACUUCAACAGCGGCGCAAGAGGAUUUCACCCGCAACGCGGAAGUGUUCAGCGCAACCCGAAAUAGAAGAAAGAAGAAAAGUUUGAAAUUGAAGGAAGAAAACCGUAGACGUAGAUACGUAUAAGGAAAUUAGAUAGGCAAGAUAGGGACCACAGACUUCUGCCAACAUGAAAAUAAUGAAAUGGAUUUCACUAUGGCUCAUGGUGAGUGAUAUCUGCAUCUCCCUCUUGCAAAUCAAGAAGGGAGCAAUCUUAAAGGAUCACGGUCAAGUCAAGAUGAUACAUGAUAUCGCAGUGGUGAAGAUUAACAUAACAACCGUGGAUCAACAGCAAUAACAAUUAAGGGAACUUAUGAGUAAACUUGAAAGUUUCAUAGAUAGUAACCAAAAUAAUACGAUUUUACUGAAACUCAGAGAGGAUAUCAGCAAGGUUUUACCUAAGAGAAUUAGGAAGCGUUCACUUCUUCCAUUUAUAGGUACAGCAUUAAACACUUUGUUUGGUGUGGCCACUGAUAGUGAUGUAGAUAAGGAUAGAGCUAGAAUAGAAAAGUUAGAAAUGUGGGCGGCUGAACGAGGUACAAUUAUGAACAAGGUUAUUGAUGCGGCUAACAAAAACCAAGAGUUGAUUAAUAAACUGAAGGACUUUGUUAACAAUGUAGCUCAAAACAUUACAAAUGAAAUAAAUGAUUUGCAUAGGUCUAAACUGGUGAACCAAUUAAUGUUUGAAACAAAGUCAUUUUUGUUAAACUAUAAAGAACUUCUGAAUGCCAUUAUGAUGUCUACAAAGAACAUUUUAUCACCAUACCUUAUCAGUCCUAGUGAGUUAAACCUCAUUAUAGAGAAGUGUAUGUUAGAUCACCAAUUCAAGCCGCUUGUGCGCGAUGUCCUUACUUACUAUAGUUUAAUAACAGUGAAAAGGGUUUCUGAUCACAUUGUUUUAGUUAUACCAUUUAACAAUAAGGAAGUUAAUAACUUGAUAUCCAUUUACCCUUUCCCAAUGUUAGUAAAUAACAAGUAAAUUGUUUUGAACUAAGACAUAGUACAUUUUGCAUUGCAACAGAAUUCCCUUCUUUUAGUACAGCUAAAUAACAAGGACUUUGAUGACUGUAUCAUGCUUGAAGCCAACGAGUUUGUUUGUAAUAUACAGAGUUUUUAUGAGCCACUUAACAAAUUGUAUUGCAUAGAUGAUUUGAUUAAUGACAGAAAUGGUGAGAAUAACUGUGAAUAUAUCCCUUACAAUCAUGAUUUCAAAGCUCAAAUUUUGUGUGAUGAAUUGAUAGUCUUUUCACAGAAUCAAGUACUAACAGCUAAAGUCACUUGCAGGAAUAAUAAAUUUCAAAUAAUGUUUAAUAACAUCAAAUCCUUUGUGACAUCUUGUGAAGUAAUUAUUUUGAAUUAUUUGUACUACAAACCUACCAUUUUGCUACUUACACCUUAAACUUAUCUAGCCACAUAAAUUAUUUUGAACAUGUCAAAGAUUUCAAAUUGUCCAAACUUAAAGCAGCUAAACAUUUUUUCCAUGUAUACAAGACUGACAUUUCACCCAUCAUGUCAAUGGUAAAUAUUGUUUUGUUAGUACUCACCAUACUAGCUUUCAUAUGUAUUGUCAGAGUGUUAGUUAUUAACAAGCUCAACACCAUUAAGACUUUACUGAAUAAUUUGCCUUCAAGUAACUAAUGUUCUAACAUUGUUGUAUAUAUUGCCAUUUGUGAUUGCUUUCAACAUUGUAUUUUUAUGUAUAAGUAUUUUUUGGGGGGAAACUUUGCUAAUUUUAGGCACUGAGGUCACUGCCUGUAGGUGGCCGAGUGUUGUUAGGAAUGCAACAGAAGUCUGUAAAAAUAUAUGUAGGGGAAUUAGCUAGGAAAAUGUGAUGGUAGAGUUAUGGUAGAUGAUGGUGAAGAGAAGGUAGAAGUGUGGUAGGAACAAAUUGCAGUCAUAGCAAUUUGAAAAAUGAGACAAAACACAGGCAGCAACUUGCCAAAACAAAUUACUGAUGAAUCCAGUGGAAAUUCUGAACUUUGACACCUCAAGCGGGUGGUUACUAUAGAUUAGAACAACCAAUAGGAUUCACACAGGGGUGGCACCGGAAACAACGAAAGCCACUCAAGAAGAAGUAGGGUGUAUCCUAGUUGAAGUUAAGGAGGAGCUCAAAUUGAGAAGUUAGGUUGAGACUUCACUUGAAGUCUGAAAAAAGUUCAGUUAAGAACGAAACACUAGACGGAGAGGUUGUGUCGGUGUAAUCUCUGUUCCCUGUGAAUUUUUGUGUAGUGUACUAACUGUGAAACUAGUGUUUAUUAAUAAUAAGUAAGAUA